GAUGAACGCUGGCGGCGUGCCUAAUACAUGCAAGUCGAGCGAACAGACGAGGAGCUUGCUCCUUUGAUGUUAGCGGCGGACGGGUGAGUAACACGUAGGUAACCUACCUAUAAGACUGGGAUAACUUCGGGAAACCGGAGCUAAUACCGGAUAAUAUUUCGAACCGCAUGGUUCGAUAGUGAAAGAUGGCUUUGCUAUCACUUAUAGAUGGACCUGCGCCGUAUUAGCUAGUUGGUAAGGUAACGGCUUACCAAGGCAACGAUACGUAGCCGACCUGAGAGGGUGAUCGGCCACACUGGAACUGAGACACGGUCCAGACUCCUACGGGAGGCAGCAGUAGGGAAUCUUCCACAAUGGGCGAAAGCCUGACGGAGCAACGCCGCGUGAGUGAUGAAGGUCUUCGGAUCGUAAAACUCUGUUAUUAGGGAAGAACAAACGUGGAAGUAACUGUGCACGUCUUGACGGUACCUAAUCAGAAAGCCACGGCUAACUACGUG
rnacentral:rRNA from 1 species